rnacentral:lncRNA from 1 species
AAAAGGGCAUUACAAAACAUGGUCGACAGACCUUACAAGAGAAAUAAAAUAAAAUAAAAAAGAAAAGAAAAAGAAAAAAUUCAAAUGGGGAAUCUAGACUUAAAUUCCUCAAACGAGGUUAUCUCAUGACUGAUCCUAUUAUCUAGAGUGACCUUCUUCCCGCGCAAGUAUUUAAUGUCAGCCUCGAUCUUAAGUGCUCUUUCUCCAUGAGAUAUUCCCCUCAGAACCUCAUUGUCGACUGCCUC